UCCGUCGGCUGCAGAGCUGCUACUGCUGUGACGAGAGGACAGAGGGCGAGGAGGCGGCCGAAAAGCCCCGGCGGCACGAAUGUCACAAGGCCGAGUCCCCGCCGCAGGAGCCGGCGGGCGACACGCAGGAGCACUGGCUGCACGAGGCCUGUGCCGUAUGGACCGCUGGGGUUUUCCUGGUGGCGGGGAAGCUCUAUGGGCUGCAGGAGGCUGUCAAGGCGGCUGCCGACCUGAAGUGCUCGAGCUGCCAGCAAGUGGGAGCCACUGUGGGCUGCUGCCAGAAGGGGUGUCCCCACACCUACCACUACGCGUGUGCCGUCGACACAGGUUGCUUAUUAACUGAGGAGAGCUUCUCUCUGAGAUGUCCCAAACAUAAGGUAAGCCCAGAGCCCCCCUGUGCACCCCUCAAUGAUCUGCAGCUCUCUGUGGCAGGAGGACCUGCCUUCAGACCCCGAAUUCCUGGGGACACCCAUCCUGGAUGCUCAGCUCUGUAUGGGCAUCACAUCCCUGGGGAUAUCGGUGGGUGCUGCUGGGUCUGGGACACCCCAGCUGGGUCUGAGGGGUCUUAUCCCCUUCUCUGAGCACAGAGGAGGUGGUGAAUGGAUGGCUGAGCCCCUUCUCAAAGCGCUGCGUCCCGGGUGAAUGCCCGGUUAUUGGCGGGGG